rnacentral:rRNA from 1 species
GACGAACGCUGGCGGCGUGCUUAACACAUGCAAGUCGAACGAAGUGGCGCACGGGUGAGUAACGCGUAAUCACCCUGCCCUUCAGAGGGGGACAACCGUUGGACACGACCUCUAAUCCCGCCUAUUGACGCAGGAGUUUGCUUCUGAUUAGGUAGGUGGAGGGGUAACGGCCCACCAAGGCGAUGAUCAGUAGCCGGUCUGAGGGGAGGAAUGGGCAAAUUGGGAAUUGGACACCGCCCAGGCUUCUACGGGAGGCAGCAGUGGGGAAUUGUCCGGAAUUGACGAAAGUCUGACGGAGCAACGCCGCGGGAGUGAUGACGGCCGUCGGGUUGUAAAGAUCUGUUAAUCGGGACGCGGUACCGGAAUAGAAAGCCACGGCUAACUACGUGCCAGCAGCCGCGGUAAUUC